rnacentral:lncRNA from 1 species
CUCAUCUUUACUUCCCAACCGUCCACAUUAACUGCCAAAGAUGCCUCAACUUCCACUGUUAUAAAAGCCUCGACACCUUCCCUUUCUCCAAAAUGGCGUCUGCCCGAGACUCUCAGCCUUUCCACUGGCACUACGCAGAUCUCGAAGACCGUGACUUCCAAAUCCACGGCCGAACUCUCUUCUUCACUGUCGUCCUCUUUGCCAUCGUCCUUAUUUUCGCUCUCAUCUUCUUUUACACUCGAUGGCUGUGCAGUUCUCAUCGACACGACCUAUCCCCGACCUCUCACUUACCCCCACAGCCUCCUCCUCAGCCUCGAGGGCUCGACCCCAAUACCAUCAAUGCGUUGCCGAUAACUAUGGUGACGAGGGGGAGGGCGGCGCUUGGGAGCGAGUGCUGUAUAUGCCUUGGACUGUUUGAAGAUGGUGAGAAAGUUAAGGUUUUGCCUUCGUGUCACCAUUCCUAUCAUUCCGAGUGUGUUGAUAGGUGGCUCAGUGCUGAGUCGAGUUGUCCACUGUGUAGAAAUUCUCUUCAAGUUGAAUCAGAUCGGCUUCGUCAGAUUCCAGUCAUUGUGACUCAGUAAACACACACGCACACCAAAAAAAAAAAAUGUAAACGAUGGUGGAUUUGAGUAGAUUCCUUUUAUGGGUUUUUCUCCGCUUUUGAUUUUGUCUUAUAUUGUGGGGUUGCCAUGAAUGUAAUGCUACCAUGUGCUCGGUGAAAUUGUUCAAUGAAUAAUUGUUUUUUGGCUAAAUUAUGCUUCAAGUACCUGUACUUUUUAUAUAUUUGAAAGUUAGUUUCUCUAUUUUUAGGUCUAUUUGUUAACACCGAUAAAAUUCUUCUAUUAAAUUCAUUAGUGUAAUAUUUUGAAAAAAAAAAUACUCUCUUAAUAUAUAAAAACACAUGAUAUUAAUAAUUGAAAUUGUUUCUUAAAUUUGAAAAAUAAAGAGACUAAAUUCAAACUGAACAAAGAGUAGAAGGACUUGAAGUAGAUUUUAACGUUUCUGUUUUUCAACGAUGGAGAAAGUUAGGUCAUUUGUUGCCUUGUGGCCCUUUGAACGUGGGCUGUUGUGAUUGGGGAAACAAAAUUCCAGUUUUUAUACCCUUUAUUGCAAUCAAUGCUAAAAGGACCAAUAUAAAAAUCAAAAUACAAUAGGGACAUAUUCGCAAUUUUCCAGAUAUAAUUGAUUAAACACGAGAAGGGUUUUUUUUUUCUUUUUUUUUUUGGGUCCAACUGAGUAUAUGGAUAAUUAUUAGGUUAAAGCACGACUGUUUUUUUAUAUAAUUUAUAAUAUAUACUUUAUGAAGAAUCCAGAAAAUACUUUAAUUGGGAUAAUGCAAGGUGGAGAUUUGUUUCAGUGAAUUAAUUAAUAUUUCUUUUUGCCUUUAAUCAUUCAAUAAUUUGGCAUUUUAAUUGCAUCUGGAAAAUCUGUGUGCCCUUAGACUGGAAAUAUUAUAAAUUAAAUUAUUGUGUGAUAAUGACUAGCACUUAUUUACUUAGAUUAGUUAUUAUAUGUAAAAUUAUAUCGAUAUAAUAUCUCUAUCGUAGGAGAUUCGGAUAAUUAUUUGAUACAUUGUUAAUAGAGUUUUUAAAAUUUCACAAAUGGAUUAAAAGUGUGACAAGUGUCAUAUUUAUUUAUGUAAUUAAUUUUUUUCUACACCUUAUAAUACACUGACGAUAUAUUAAAUAAUUUUCCUUUUUUUUAGUUCAAUCAGAUUAUUAUACAAAUUUAUUUUUGAAGUUUUGCUUAAUCAACUUAUAUGAUUAUUCUUAAUUUUAUUUAUUUAAAUAUAAUUAUAAAAUAUUUAUAUUAAUAUUAAUAUAAAAUUAUAAUAUUUCAGUAUUUUUUUAAUACUAAAACAGACUUUUAAAAUAGUCCAAAAUUGAUUUGAUUCCAGCUUAAAGGGUGUUUUUUUUUUCUUCUGAAGGGAACCUGAGAAACCCUAAACUUGAUUUUGGGCUAAAAUAGGCCGAUUCAUGGUUUAACCCAACAUAUAAUAACAAAGCCCAACUACCGAAAGGCCAUUAGGGAUUUAGGGUUUUAGCUUUUAAGCCUAUAUAUAUAAUCUCAAAGCCUUACCUUUCUCUUCCCCAUUCUCCUCGCAGCCUCCGUAGAAGAACACUACACGAGUGGUUUUGAACUGCAAAAGGAGAUCGAUUUCGAAGCCUUUUCACCAUGAGAGCUAAGGUGAAAACGUCAAAACUCAAACCAUGAUUUUCUUUUUGAUCUAUUUGAUUCUUUUUUUUUAUUGAAAUAUUGAUAUGGGGGUUUUUUUUUUUAAAUUGUGCUAAUAUCAGUGGAAGAAGAAGCGUAUGAGGAGGUUGAAGAGGAAGAGAAGAAAGAUGAGGCAAAGAUCUAAGUAGUCUAAUUUUAUCUUAAAGCUAGCAAUUUGGUCUAUGUUUCUUUAGAUUUUCUGUUGUUUGAUGGAUACUUUACUUUAAAAGGAUUUAAGUUAUCUUUAUCGAAACCUUUUGAAUAUUCUGGAAACAUGUUAUUGUGUUUUCUAUUAAAAGCUUAUGGCUUUGGAUGUUAAUUUUCUGAUAUUUUUGGCUCAAAGUUGCACGCACUUGGCGUUCUCAUUUUAUCUUCAAAUGGAAGAUUAUGGCUACAGAUUUGAUUUUGGGGGAUGUAGUUAUUGACUAAGUUGAUGAGAUAUAGCUUGUUUCUUUGGGACAUGAUUCUAGAAGUUCUGGUAUGAUUGCCAGAUUUUUUUAUAUAGAACUACAUAUGAGCAUAAGAAUAUUCGAACUCAUACCUUUCAAAAUAUUGCAUCAACAAUUAUGCCGAUUAAUUAUUCAACUUAGUUGGCGGUAUAUUUGUUAGAUAUAUGAAUGUGUUUCGUAUUAAUAUGUUAUGGUUUUCUAGAUUCAUAUUUUUAGAGAACUUUCUAGGUACAAUUGAAUCUGUUUUAAGCAUUGUUGAGAGAUUCGGUAGAAAUUUUCGAAGGAGACUAUUGGUCCCCAACAAUCAAAAGUAUUGUUUAUUGGGGUUUUCGUCUCCAUCCGGCGACUACCUUGAGGGCUUGAUUCACAAAGCCGGGAGUGCUUCGACUGUGGGUGUAUGGCCAUCCACCUAGAGAGUGUGAAUGUUUCACCUUUUGUGAGGUAUGAACCCUUGACCUAUGUUAUAUAGGUCACUAAUUGGAGAAGAUGUACUAACGUGCGGGAGAGAUCGGUUGUAGGAACUUUUUCAGAAAAGAGUCUCAACAAGGAUUUUAUUCUAAUGUUCAUAUUCAAAUAAUAUUAGUAUGUUAGGUUCUUUAAAUACAUUUUAAUUGUUUGAGGAUUAUAUUCAUAUUUGGAUAAAUGUCGAAUAUUUUGAGAGAAAUGAAAAGUAAAAGAUGAGUUAUUCUGCAAUGAAAACAUUGUGGCAUGGAAAAAAAUUGAAGACCUAUAUACUCAUUUCUAUUAUAAGUUACAAAAGUUUAGGCUCUACUAUCAAGAAGUAACCUUAGCAAAAAAGAAAAGAAAGCAAAAUAAGUCUUAGAGGGAGGUAGACUUUAAUUGUGCCCUUGACUUGAAAAGUUCAUUACUUGAUGAUUCACCAAGCCAGUGGCGUCGGUGAUCGGACAAAACCCAUUAAUAGGCCUUACAAUGAUCAAUUCCAUUAAAGGCAAGUGGCGGUGGUAUCCCUUGUGUCGUUAAUGCUCGUUCAUCUAGGGGCGUGAAGCCGUCGGAUUCCAUGAUAGCUCGACACAAAGGUGAGCAGUGGUUCUCUCCUAAGGCGUGCUUCGAGUGAGCUCUACAUUGUUGUCAACGUCGAGAGCUUCAGGGGAAAUUCUUUCUCCAAGAAAUAAGAUCAUUUCAAGAGAUUACAAGGCUUUAAUGAAUUCUUUUUUAAAAGGAUAAAAACCUAAAAAGAUGGAAAACAUAAUUUUUUUUCACAGGGAGAGAUGGAAAAAUGAAAAUAAUAAUUUUUUCCAUACAUUGCUUGGUGGAGUUAAAGCAUGGAAGGAAAUGAAAUAAAACAUCUGAAAAUACGUAAUUUUGAAUUAGUAUACAUAUUUCCUUUAUUUUUUCUCCUCUCAUCAUUCCAAUUUAGAAGUAUUGAUUUUUAUGUAUUAUCAUGAAAAAUAAUCCUCUCCUAUUUUCAUCCCAACCAAGGACACUCAAUUUAUUUUCUCUUCACUUUUUCAUUCUCUCCUCCCAUUUCUCCACUUUUUUACCCAACUAAGCUCACUUAAUGUAACCCCAAUGGUACAAAAUCUCUCAGUAGCUUCUACCAACCUUGUCAUUUUCUUUUUGUAUCCCUCUAUUUCUCUUUAAGACAAACCAAACAUGAGCGCGCAUUUAGUGACCAAAUUGCGACGUCUUCUCACCCUUUUCUUUUUUACACCUCCAAACGGCAGGAAUCAAAGUUUUGAAUUGUCGCUCCCAUCUUUAUUAAUCGAGGAAUCAUAAACCAAGUACAAAGCAUCUCUCAUUAUCGCAAACUUGCAAUUGUAAUAUAUACAUACUUUCAUUAUGUGAAUUGACAACGCUAAGAACAAGCUAUAUUUUCUGCUUUGAUCGUCUGAUCUUCCAAACGACGAACCAUGUAUAAAACAGCAUCAAGGGAACUGUUUAACAGUUAUUAAUGAAACAAUUAUUUUUUUUAUAAGCAAUGAAACAAAUACUUGAUCGCCAUUGUUAUCAUUGCAAAGGAGCAAAGCUUUUAACAACUCAAUGAACUCAGAGAGCAGUUCAGGCGGAUAAUCGGAACACAUCAAAUUCAAACUCUGAUCAAGAUCUUGUUCUUGAUUUCGAGGUCAAUUACGUGUUCGGAAGAUCAAAAUCUACAUAAACUUUGUCGAUCCUCUCAGUCCGUUCUUGAUUUUUUUUUCCAUAAUUACAUCAUACGUGCAUUACUCUUUCGUGGCAUGUCAUUUUAAUUUUUUGGAUUCCAAACCUUUUGGACACGUAUUCGCAUCACAUAAUCACCAUUCCGAUCAAAAUAAUCAAAUCUAACUAAAGACCAGCACUAAUAUUUAUUUUAUAUAGAAAAGAUAUACAUGUAUAUACUGCCAACAAAUUCUACCAAUAAAGAGUAGCCCAGAAAAACAUGUAUAUGAAUCAUAAACAAAUUUUCUGUUCCGAUUUAGGAAAAGAAUGAAGCAAAAAGAAGAAACAAUUAAGUGGGAAGUGUUCUCGUAUAUACUGCUGGGUCAAUUCCAAGGACAUUAAAGGAAAAUAAAACUACAAAAUACAAAUAUGCAUGUGUGAUAAAAAUCCUCGGCUUACCUUCUUACCAGCAUCCAAAAAAUGCCUCUUUCUACCAAAAAGUAAAAAAAGAAAA